GCUAAGAAUAUUCCGCAAUGGACGGAAGUCUGACGGAGCGACGCCGCGUGGAUGAUGAAGGCCGAAAGGUUGUAAAGUUCUUUUGCUGGGGAAGAAUAAGCCUAGGAGGGAAUGCCUAGGUGAUGACAUGAACCGGCGAAUAAGCCCCGGCCAACUACGUGCCAGCAGCCGCGGUAACACGUAGGGGGCGAGCGUUGUUCGGAAUUACUGGGCGUAAAGGGCAUGUAGGCGGUCUGGUAAGCCUGGCGUGAAAGACUGCAGCUUAACUGCAGGGAUGCGCUGGGAACUGCUGGGCUUGAGUGACGGAGAGGGAGCUGGAAUUCCUGGUGUAGGGGUGAAAUCUGUAGAUAUCAGGAAGAACACCGAUGGCGAAGGCAAGCUCCUGGCCGAUGACUGACGCUGAGGUGCGAAAGUGUGGGGAUCAAACAGGAUUAGAAACCCUAGUAGUCC
rnacentral:rRNA from 1 species